UAGCUGGGUUGUUAAGUCUCUUGGGAAAUCUGGCGGCUUAACCGUCAGGCGUCUAAGGGAUACUGGCAAUCUUGGAACCGGGAGAGGUGAGGGGUACUUCGGGGGUAGGAGUGAAAUCCUGUAAUCCUCGAGGGACCACCUGUGGCGAAGGCGCCUCACCAGAACGGCUUCGACAGUGAGGGACGAAAGCUGGGGGAGCAAACCGGAUUAGAUACCCGGGUAGUCCCAGCCGUAAACUAUGCGCGUUAGGUGUAUCGGUGACCACGAGUUACCGAGGUGCCGAAGGGAAACCGUGAAACGUGCCGCCUGGGAAGUACGGUCGCAAGGCUGAAACUUAAAGGAAUUGGCGGGGGAGCACCACAACAGGUGGAGCCUGCGGUUUAAUUGGACUCAACGCCGGGAAGCUCACCGGAUAGGACAGCAGAAGGAUUGCCGGGCUGAAGACCCUGCAUGACUAGCUGAGAGGAGGUGCAUGGCCGUCGUCAGUUCGUACUGUGAAGCAUCCUGUUAAGUCAGGCAACGAGCAAGACCCACGCCAACAGUUGCCAGCAUGGUCUCCGGACUGAUGGGGACACUGUUGGGACCGCCUCUGCUAAAGAGGAGGAAGGAAUGGGCAACGGUAGGUCAGCAUGCCCCGAAUUAUCCGGGCUACACGCGGGCUACAAUGGGCAGGACAAUGGGCAUCGACACCGUGAGGUGGAGGCAAUCUCCUAAACCUGUCCUUAGUUCGGAUUGUGGGCUGAAACUCGCCCACAUGAAGCUGGAAUCUGUAGUAAUCGCGUUUCAAAAUAACGCGGUGAAUUUGUCCCUGCUCCUUGCACACACCGCCCGU
rnacentral:rRNA from 1 species